CCUAUAAUGGGUCUGGAAAUCGGAGAUCAGCUGGUCCAGGGCCUAGGAUGCCCUUGUCAUGCUCUCCAAGGACGGUGCCGGGAACAAGGUUCGUGUCUGUUUGCCCAUUUCUAUCUUCUUCUGUAGGAGCCGGCUGUCUCCAGCUGCCCCCUAACCAUUCGUGCUGCUAAUAAGAUGAAUAAUACAGGGUUAAGGAACAUAAGACUCUGUCCAACAAAGUCAGAAAAGGCUAUAUAGUUCAAUUUAGAACAUCACGACUUACUUCUUCAUGACUGUAAUUUCCAUCAAGCAACAUAGGGGUCACGACGGGUGGGACGACAUCUGGGUCGGGCUUCUGAAAUACAAAUGUGGAAUACAAACCUGAAGAAACAAUGAUGCUAAAGUUAGCCUCAUGGGGAGAAUCCUUGAAGCAUCAUACAGGAGACAGAUUUAUCACCUAGCAAAUCAAAGGAACGAGCAAGAAGCUUCCCUCGAGGAUCCACAAAAUUUGCACCAUAGCUGAAGAGCAUUCCGGCAAACUGUGUUCUGAGAACAAAUGACAUGUAUCUUCAGGUCUGGUGACCCAGAAAACUAAAGGGAAAAACCUUUGGCGAUAAAAUAGGAUCUGAAAUAGGACAACAUCAAUGUUUGAUAAAAUCAUUAAACCAACCGUAGGCUAGAUUGGAGAUGUUAACAAACAUCAAUCUUGUCAUAUUUCAGAUAGAUUGGAGAUGUUAAGUAUGCUCUGAUCAAAGAUUAAUGAUGCUAGUCUCUAACUUUAUAAGUGUCAAUAAGUGUUUUUGCUAUGUAUAUUAUUACAACUCUACAUUUUCAAUAAAAGUGGUAAAAGUCAGGCUUGACCAACUCCGAUUCCCAAAGCAUGUUUAUCAACUAGAAUAUCUAAAAAGGAUGGAUUGAAGAUCCAAAUGCAGCCAUUAUUCCUUGUCAUUUGUAACAAAGAAUGUCUAUAGGAGCUAUUUUCCACAACGACAACAACGUUCACACAUAAUAAUUAUAACCAUGGCUUCUUUAACCAGAACGAAAUUAUCGAGCACAUUAGAAAAAGGGCCAAUGCACUCGAGGCAUUAAAUCCCAUAAAUGUCGGAGGCAAGAGGUACAAAAAGAGCACAUGCCUAAGCAAAACAAGGAACAAUUUUAAAAAUUUUAAUGAUAAUACAUUCUAUCUAUAUUUUCUCAUGCUUGAUAUGUUUUUGAUCAAUUACAAUGUGAAACACUUGCAUGUUGUUAGCUUAUUAUUUGCAAACAUGAUAGAUGACUAUUGAUGCAAAAUAUGGUAAGCCUUGUUGUUGGCAGGGCAUGACAAUAAUAGCCAUCAGCUCAACAUUAUGGAGUUGCACCAACACAUGCCUGUCAUUGAAAUUGACAAAUGUUACUUAAGAUGAUACUCUUGUCCCACUUAUGGACUCUUCCCUAGGACAGUGUGUGGUCCUUUGGGAUUUAAAGAUUCUAAUGUCUAUGCCCC
rnacentral:lncRNA from 1 species